rnacentral:ncRNA from 2 species
UUUGCUCGCCAGGGGUCUCCGGAGGCAUCAUCGCCCGCGGAGUGAGAGAUACCCUUCGAACCUGACGCGGUCGAUACCGCCGUAGGGAGGCAGACUACGCCGGCC